AGGAAAGGCCUUCAGUGGACUAGGAGGAGGAGGAAGAGAAAAAACUAAAAAUAAUCACUCGGCAAGUAAUUAACAUCAUCCCACAAGGUUUGAAUCUCCUGCCAUUUCUGUAGAAGUGGAAAUCUUACUUUAAAAUUAAAAAUACACUAAUUCGUGUUACUUAACCACCCUAACUAAUAAAAUAAACAUAAAUAACACUAUAAUAAACCAAUAAAUCCUCAUAAAUUCAAUAAGAAAGCCAAAAAAAACAUUAUGGCAGUGGAAAUCUUACUAUUAAAUCAAUACUACCCUAAUUCACGUAACUUAACCACCGUAACUAAUAAAAUAAACAUUAAUAACACUAUAAUAAACCAAUAAAUCCCAUAAAUUUAAUAAUAAAACAAAAAAAACUGAUUCCUCCCGGAUUUAACAGAGUCUUGGCCGUGAUGGCGGGAGUGUGGUUCAGAAGGCGGGUAAAGUCUAAUAUUUCCGCCAAUUACAGCCAUAUUAACCCCCGGGGGAGGACUGUUUAACCACCGGGAAAGGGAGGAAAGCCCCAGGGUGAAGACGUGAAGAUGUCAGGUCGCGACACGUUGGUCCAUCGGCGCACCUUCCAGAACGCCAACCAGGUGGUGGAGUUGACCACACGCACCAUUCCCAAGGCUCAACACCACCAGCGAGGACAUCAACACCAAUCACCACCACCACCACCACCUUUCGCUCAUUGGCUACAGUGAAGGUCGUGGCAGAGAGUGUACUCAAACUCCUACUGUGAGCUACUCCUGAUGCCUGCGCCCUCACCACCCCUGUGAAGGACGCCCAGCUGACCCAACCCUCCUCGUGUGCCCCUGAGAGCUCCCUGCAGCACAGCGAGUCUCUUCUUGGACGGCUCAGAGGCACAGAAGAUGUAGCCAGACUUGCCGGCCAAACCCGAGGGUGUGUGUUGAUGUUGGGACCAAGAAGAAGAAGAAGAGGAGAAAAAGGAGGAAGAUGAUGAUAAAGGCAACAGGAAGAUCAGAAGAAGAGGAGGAAGAAUGGAAGAAGAGAACACACACACACACAUAUGACAAACACCUUUUUCUAUAUUUUUCAUUUUUAUUAGUCCAUACAACAUACAUUAGCUAUAUACAUAUAAUACAACAUAUGCAUAACUAUAUAUACAUUAGAUCAUAGAGUGAGUGAGUGAGAGACUCGAGAGGUGAGAUAGAGAGGGGCCCCCCCCCCCCCCCUCUCUCUCUCUCUCUCUCUCUCACCUCACCACAGCUCACAGGACCCCACAGACACAUACCCCCCCAGCCUCAUGAAGGACCCCCUCCUCCCUCCCUCCCCCCCUAGCCAACAUAGCCUUGUUUUUCUAUUAAUAAAAAGUUAAUUUGUAAUGUUUGUGUGUUAUAUUCCUAUGAGAGAGGAAGAGAGAGGGAAAGGUAAAGAGGGAGAGACAGAGAACGUAAUGAGAAGAAUAAGAGAGAGAGGAGGUAAGGGAAGGAGAGAGAUGAGAGAAGGAAAAUAAAUAAUGAAAGAAAGAACAGAAGAAAUUUACCGAUAAAAGAGAGGGUAUCAGAAAAGCCGCCCAAAUUUUUCCACUCCGUCCGGGAAUUGAACCCGGGCUCUAAAGGUUGUGAGCCGAGUGUGCUAACCACUGCACCACGGAGCCCCGAGAAGGUCAGAGGGUCAGAAAUCCAUGGGGACCGAUCAAGAAUGUUUUUUGAACGAACUGCGCCUGGUAAGUAGCCACCUUGCCCUCCUCCCUUUAUCUGCUGCCCCAUCCUUGGGUUCCAGUAGUCUGCCUCAGCCCACCCCAUGAAAUAUUUUCCUCCUCGUGGUUUCCAUUGACUCAGUGCGUCGUAGAUUGGCCCAGCCCACUGUGUCAUGGGCUCGCUCAACACAAGUACAGUAAACCUUCAAUAUAACAAACUAAUUUUGGGGGAACUUAGUCCGUUAGUGCCAAAAGUCCAUUAUAAGCGGCGAAGAUUUUAAAAAACAUAAAAUAAACAACAAACCUAGUAAACGCAGGUAUGUAUAUAUAUAUUUUUUAUUGUGUAUGUUGUGUGCACGUUGUCUGUAUGGCCACACUUGGCGACAGACUCCGAGGCACUGAGGUUGCCAGGUUGCCAGUGGGUCUUGCAGGCUUGUUACAGGUAUGGGUAAAAUUUUACAAGCGCACCAGUCUUGCACUGGCAGACGAAACCUUUUUUUGGGGGGGGGGGGUAGUUUUUGGUGUGAUGUGAAAUAAUCUGCUAACUGUUUCUGUCACAAAUAAUUAAAUGAAGAACGUAUUUAUACCACAAGGUUAGUAAAUUUAUUGGGCACGUGUUGUGGGGUGCGGGAAUACACAGCACGGGAAGGGACAUGGCAGCAGCGUGCAUGUUACGAGAAAUA